rnacentral:rRNA from 1 species
AUGAGGUCACCCAGUUGGUUUGAGACAAAUUGGCUGACUGCAUUGAGUUCUUUAGCUCUUGAGGACUGCAUGGGUUGGGUACAGUUGCCCCCUUUCGGUCAGCUUCCUCUGCUCAAGUAUCUUGAGCUAAGAGGCAUGCAUGCUGUCAGAGAGAUAGGUCAAGAAUUCUAUGGGAAUGGUGACGUAAAGGGCUUUCCAAUUUUGGAAGACAUGAUAUUUGAUGGCAUGCUGAACUGGGAUGGCUGGUCUGGAAUCGAAGAUGGUUCUUUGUUUCCAUGCCUUGAAAGACUACUCGUAUCACGGUGUCCAAAGAUUCGAGAAAUACCAACCUUUAGUGCAACACCAAGAGUUGAAGUCGAAAUAUCACCUGAUUCCCCGCCAGCUUCUUGUUUAAUCGAGUCACUAAUUGCAACCGCAUCAAGGUUGAUCUUUCUAGUUAGCUCCUGCAGCUUCUUGAGUGACCUAACCACUGAGCAACUAAACCAUGUUGCUGAGUUGAACCUGCAGAACUGUACAGAUCCAAUGCCAGCUGGUGGAUUUCACAGACUUAGCUCCCUUCAGGUGUUCAGGAUCAGCAACUGUUCAACGUUAUUGUCAUCAGUCAGUACAGAAGCAGUUGACACAUAUUUACUUUCUCCAUCUCUUUGCCAUAUUGAAAUAGCUCAAAGCAAUGUUCAUUGCAGCUUAUUACCAAGGUAUUUGCAAGGCCUAACUUGCCUCUCGACGUUGGUGCUCAAUAGCUGCCAUUUGAUGACAUCAUUGUCAUUUGCUUCUGAAUCCCCCCACCUCGUUGCUCUGGAAAGUAUAACCAUUAAAGAUUGCAAUGAGCUAGCUUCAUUGGAUGGAUUUAGAAAUCUUAGUGCUCUCCGGAAGUUAGUCGUUGCAGAUUGUUACAGUUUCUGCUCCUUGCCGGUUGAUUUGAAUAUAGUGGGAUCUCUUGAGAAAUUAGUCAUAUGUGGGUGCCCAAUGAUGAGGUUUCUCCCCGAAGAUGGCCUGCCAGCUUCUGUGCAGACUAUUUUGUUAUCAAAAUGCCAUCCAGAGCUUGAUACCCAGCUUCAGAGGAAGGAAGGUGCUGAAUGGAACAAGAUUGUUCAUAUCCCUGAGAAGAAAUUAGAGGUAGGGCUGAUUGAUUUGUUGACUAUAUUUCCGGCCAAUUCUUCCUGA